rnacentral:rRNA from 1 species
AAUGAACGUUGGCGGCGUGGAUUAGGCAUGCAAGUCGAGCGAGAACCCAGCAAUGGGGGACAGCGGCGUAAGGGACAGUAAUGUGUAGAUUAUCUGCCCUCGGGACCGGGAUAGCUGCGGGAAACUGCAGGUAAUACCGGAUAACAUCUCCGGAUCAAAGGUGUGAUUCCGCCCGAGGAUGAGUCUGCAUCCCAUUAGCUAGUUGGCAGGGUAAUGGCCUACCAAGGCUUUGAUGGGUAGCGGGUGUGAGAGCACGACCCGCGUCAUUGGGACUGAGACGCUGCCCAGACACCUACGGGUGGCUGCAGUCGAGAAUCUUCGGCAAUGGGCGCAAGCCUGACCGAGCGACGCCGCGUGUGGGAUGAAGGCCCUCGGGUUGUAAACCACUGUUAGAGGGGAUGAAAUGCAGGUGGGUUCUCCCAUCUGUUUGACAUAGCCUCAGAGGAAGGACGGGCUAAGUUCGUGCCAGCAGCCGCCGUAA